AUAUAUAUAUAUAUAUGUGUGUGUGUGUGUGUAUAUAUAUAUAUAUAUAUAUAUCAUAUAUAUGACUUGCUGCCUUCGAAAUGUGUAUGAAGAAAAUUUUUGGUUUCUCUUGAAGGAAGUAUGCCAGGGGUGGAGGGAACACCAUACUUUAAUGUUUAGACUAGCUGUGAAAGGAAAUUCUAUUUCCAGUAUGAAAAAUAUUAAAAGAUUUAAAGAGAAAAAUAAUAAUAAUAAUAAAAAAACACAUAAGAAGAAUGUAUUUUUCUUUUUUAAAUAUUGAAUCAAUAAAACAUAAACAAAU